rnacentral:rRNA from 1 species
GAUGAACGCUGGCGGCGUGCCUAACACAUGCAAGUCGAACGAAGCAAUUAAAUGAAGUUUUCGGAUGGAAUUUAAUUGACUGAGUGGCGGACGGGUGAGUAACGCGUGGAUAACCUGCCUAUCAGAGGGGAACAACAGUUAGAAAUGACUGCUAAUACCGCAUAUGCCUAAGUACCACAUGGUACAAUAGGGAAAGGAGAAAUCCGCUGAUAGAUGGGCUUGCGUCUGAUUAGAUAGUUGGUGGGGUAAAGGCCUACCAAGUCGACGAUCAGUAGCCGGACUGAGAGGUUGAACGGCCACAUUGGGACUGAGAUACGGCCCAG